GCACGGCUAGCUCAGUCGGUAGAGCAUGAGACUCUUAAUCACUUGGUCGUGGGUUCGACCCCUACACUGUGCG